rnacentral:rRNA from 1 species
GAUGAACGCUGGCGGCGUGCCUAAUACAUGCAAGUCGAGCGAACAGACGAGGAGCUUGCUCCUCUGACGUUAGCGGCGGACGGGUGAGUAACACGUGGAUAACCUACCUAUAAGACUGGGAUAACUUCGGGAAACCGGAGCUAAUACCGGAUAAUAUAUUGAACCGCAUGGUUCAAUAGUGAAAGACGGUUUUGCUGUCACUUAUAGAUGGAUCCGCGCCGCAUUAGCUAGUUGGUAAGGUAACGGCUUACCAAGGCAACGAUGCGUAGCCGACCUGAGAGGGUGACCGCCCACACUGGAACGGGGACACGGUCCAGACUCCAACGGGAGGCAGCAGUAGGGAAUCUUCCGCAAGGGGCGAAAGCCUGACGGAGAAACGCGGCGGGAGUGAUGAAGUCCUCCGGAUCGUAAAACUCUUUUAUUGGGAAAGAACAAUGUGUAAGUAACUAUGCACGUCUUGACGGUACCUAAUCAGAAAGCCACGGCUAACUACGUG